rnacentral:rRNA from 1 species
AUAGCCUACGGGAGGCAGCAGUGAGGAAUAUUGGUCAAUGGCCGCAGGGCUGAACCAGCCAAGUCGCGUGAGGGAUGACGGUCCUAUGGAUUGUAAACCUCUUUUGUCAGGGAGCAAAGGGCGCCACGUGUGGCGCUUUGCGAGUACCUGAAGAAAAAGCAUCGGCUAACUCCGUGCCAGCAGCCGCGGUAAUACGGAGGAUGCGAGCGUUAUCCGGAUUUAUUGGGUUUAAAGGGAACGCAGGCGGUCUUUUAAGUCUGAUGUGAAAGCCUUCGGCUUAACCGGAGGAGUGCAUUGGAAACUGG